CCUACGGGAGGCAGCAGUGGGGAAUAUUGGGCAAUGGGCGCAAGCCUGACCCAGCAACGCCGCGUGAAGGAAGAAGGCUUUCGGGUUGUAAACUUCUUUUAAGGGGGAAGAGCAGAAGACGGUACCCCUUGAAUAAGCCACGGCUAACUACGUGCCAGCAGCCGCGGUAAUACGUAGGUGGCAAGCGUUGUCCGGAUUUACUGGGUGUAAAGGGUGUGCAGCCGGAGAGACAAGUCAGAUGUGAAAUCCACGGGCUCAACCCGUGAACUGCAUUUGAAACUGUUUCCCUUGAGUGUCGGAGAGGUAGUCGGAAUUCCUGGUGUAGCGGUGAAAUGCGUAGAUAUAAGGAAGAACACCAGUGGCGAAGGCGGAUUACUGGACGAUAACUGACGGUGAGGCGCGAAAGCGUGGGGAGCAAACAGGAUUAGAUACCCCGGUAGUC
rnacentral:rRNA from 1 species